CCUACGUGAGGCAGCAGUGAGGAAUAUUGGUCAAUGGGCGGGAGCCUGAACCAGCCAAGUCGCGUGAGGGAAGACGGUCCUACGGAUUGUAAACCUCUUUUGCCGGGGAGCAACGGGGUCCUUGCGAGGGCCCGAUGAGAGUACCCGGAGAAAAAGCAUCGGCUAACUCCGUGCCAGCAGCCGCGGUAAUACGGAGGAUGCGAGCGUUAUCCGGAUUUAGUGGGUUUAAAGGGUGCGUAGGCGGGCUGUUAAGUCAGCGGUCAAAUGUCGGGGCUCAACCCCGGCCUGCCGUUGAAACUGGCGGCCUCGAGUGGGCGAGAAGUAGGCGGAAUGGAUGGUGUAGCGGUGAAAUGCAUAGAGAUCAUACAGAACACCGAUUGCGAAGGCAGCUUACCAAACUACGACUGACGUUGAGGCACGAAAGCGUGGGGAGCAAACAGGAUUAGAUACCCUUGUAGUC
rnacentral:rRNA from 1 species